rnacentral:rRNA from 1 species
UUACACAAAUAUGAAGGCGGGCUGGAACCUCUCGGGGUUACAGCCUUGCUGAAUUAUUCACCCUUGUCUUUUGCGUACUUCUUGUUUCCUUGGUGGGUUCGCCCACCACUAGGACAAACAUAAACCUUUUGUAAUUGCAAUCAGCGUCAGUAACAAAUUAAUAAUUACAACUUUCAACAACGGAUCUCUUGGUUCUGGCAUCGAUGAAGAACGCAGCGAAAUGCGAUAAGUAGUGUGAAUUGCAGAAUUCAGUGAAUCAUCGAAUCUUUGAACGCACAUUGCGCCCUUUGGUAUUCCAAAGGGCAUGCCUGUUCGAGCGUCAUUUGUACCCUCAAGCUUUGCUUGGUGUUGGGCGUCUUGUCUCUAGCUUUGCUGGAGACUCGCCUUAAAGUAAUUGGCAGCCGGCCUACUGGUUUCGGAGCGCAGCACAAGUCGCACUCUCUAUCAGCAAAGGUCUAGCAUCCAUUAAGCCUUUUUUUCAACUUUUGACCUCGGAUCAGGUAGGGAUACCCGCUGAACUUAAGCAUAUCAAUAAGCGGAGGAAAAGAAACCAACAGGGAUUGCCCUAGUAACGGCGAGUGAAGCGGCAACAGCUCAAAUUUGAAAUCUGGCUCUUUUAGAGUCCGAGUUGUAAUUUGCAGAGGGCGCUUUGGCUUUGGCAGCGGUCCAAGUUCCUUGGAACAGGACGUCACA